rnacentral:lncRNA from 1 species
AGAAAAGUUCUGUGAAACUGUAAUGUCUUCGGGUAUAGAUAAUCACUUGGAAAUGGGAGGAGGGGAUAGUAGGCUAGUUAAUUUGUGGUUGAUGAAAUUUUAAAAGAUCAAUGCCUUGAAAGUUAGAGUGGAAUCCAGGGGUAAUGACACUGGACUGCUACCAAAGCUUUGUUAUGUGUUACCCAGAAAUAUGACUCUCAGUGGUGAAUUCUUGUAACUUUCUCUAAAUGGAUUAUUCCCAUCUGGAGAAGCAUUAUGUGUUAAAGGUGACUACUGAUAGAGGUGGCAAGAGAUAAUUCCAUAGCAGGAAAAGCAACUUGCAGUAUUUUUUAUGUCAAAUUGACUUUAUCCUAGUGAAAGGAUAGUAUGUGAAAUAAA